rnacentral:tRNA from 1 species
CGGCGACCUGGCCGAGGGGGUGCAGGAGAUCCGCCUGAUCGGCGGUGGCUCGCGCAGCCCGGUGUGGCGGCAGAUCGUCGCCGACGUCACCGGC